GCGAGCUGGCCAGACACUCCGUCUUUCCCACAACAGGUGCAUUCAUCCAUCCGCCGACGGUUGGGGAGGUCUUGCUAGCUGGUGGGCUUGGCUCUUUACCCGUUGUCCCCGAGUAGCCCUCAAGCCUGGAUGUAGGUGAGCGUGAGGAUGCUACUAGUAGGUAGAAGGAUGACAGCAGGGGCGGGGACGACCCCCCUCCCAUCACUUCCUAAGGUGAUGCACUUGCUCCUACCCCCCAAGCAGCCUCAGUCCCGGCAGCCCCCUCCCCCCGGCCUGGCCUGCCAGCUCAGGGUGAGCCCGGUCGGAUUGUCACUCGACGCCCACUAGUGGCUGAGGAGGCUCCAGUGCGCAGGCUCCGGGCACCGGAUAAAAGCGGAGCUGGCGAGUCCGGCGCCGUCUCGAUGGAGGAGCGAGAAACGCAAGAGGUCGGGGGGAGAAGCCGCAGAAAAAAUUGCAGCCAUCGUCAGCGCCGCCUCCCUGCCACCGUGUAUGGGGUAAAAGCUGCCGUUGCCGCUGCCGGUGCAGUCGCUGCCGCCGCCUCUACUUCUUAGCACCGGGGAAGGAAUCCCCGCCGCGGGACAGUGUGCUGGGCGGGGAGCGGGAGUUCGUUUGUGUGGCGGUGAUUAAACGAGGGAGGGACAGAGCUGGUUUCUCGAACCGAAAAGGGGAGGCCAAGGAAUAAAACAGGGUUCCCCACUAAAAUCACACAGCGAUUACGGAUCUGGCUUUGGGGGCCUUUCCCCGGAAUGGCGGUUUCCGUCUUCUUGGCCCGCAGCACGACCUUGGGUGCUCCGUAAGAGGAGUGGGGAGAGGCAGAGGCGGUGUCGGCAGCCAAUCGGCGUCUGGUGAUUUCUGUCGGGCGCGUAGGGAUUGGCUGACGAUGACCUCAUGCUGCAGCAGCGGGUGGGGCCAGAGUCGUCGGGGGUGGCUGUUGCAAAGGCAGAGAGUGAGAAGUGAUGACGGUGAUCGUUGUCGCCGCGUCUUCUGUGGAACCCAAGCAGUGCCGAAGGAAGUCGCAAGGCUCUUCCCCGACCAUUUGCUCCUCUCCCUGCGCGAGGUGAGGGCCCUGGCUCGGCCUCUGCGAGACUUUGGGGCGCUGGUGCGGCCGUGGAGGCGCAAUUUCUCCUGUGACUUUUGUAACUGCGUCAGGGCAAGAUGGCGCUGGGUCUCCUUGGGGCGCGGGGGGAGAGGCACGUCCACCGCCGCCGCAGCGCAUGUGACCGGCUGCAUUCCUGUGGGGUUUGGCGGGGACCCAGGCAGGGCGGGGGAGGGGACCGGGUUUGGGCGGAGGAGAUGGUGGUGCGGUCGGCGUUGGCUGCCCGAAGAGGAAGAGAUGACUGUUUGAAAGCUCUUCCCCUCCCCCACUCCCCGCAGCAGAACAGCUGCGCGGGGGGUGGGGGGGAGCCCCAGAAAGGACACUCCUUUCGGGGUGUGCCAGCCACUGGUGGAGGAGAAGGUUUGACGCCUUCUUAUCUGCCUUUCUCCUUGCAAAGUAUGCUUACGUAAGGUGGCAGUUCCCUCCUGUAAGCCAACUAGGAGGCCCUGAGUGUCACUGGUAUGGGUAACAAGGACAGGUUAGGCUCUGAAGGCACCACGGCUAGGAGUGUUGAUUAUUUCAGACAAAACAUAAAGUUUGGGGGGUCUGAAUAGAAGACUACAGCAUUCUCAGAGUUUGAAAGCAAGUGAAUAACACCCAGGAACACUUAGGUUUACUAGACAGACAGCGGUUAAGGACUGCAUCACAGUCUGAACGGAAGGGCCCUGUCAGACCUUCUCCUUAUAUUCUUUGUGUUCAUUACCCUCCCUGUCUGUACAUCCCGUGAGAGUUUAAUUAAUCUUAUUGGUGAGGGUUGCCUUUUCAAAUAUAAGUAUUCUUAGUAAUUUUAGUAUUUUGUUCUGUAUGAAACUGAAAGGUCAUUUUCUAUACUUCACGUUGCAUUUUGCCGUCCUUUUAAAAAUAAAAGAUGGAAUUACAAAUGC
rnacentral:lncRNA from 1 species